rnacentral:tRNA from 1 species
AAAGUUUUAAGUUAAAAAAACUAUUAACCUUCAAAGUUAAAUAUAUAUUUAAAUAUAGACUUUA